rnacentral:RNase_P_RNA from 1 species
UCAGUCGGCCGGACGGCCGCUCCGGCAACGAUCGAAAGGUCGCCGGGGAGGAAAGUCCGGGCUCCAUCGACAUACGGUGCCGGAUAACAACCGGCGGGGGCGACCCCAGGGAAAGUGCCACAGAGAACGAACCGCCUCCCCCACCCUACCCUCCCCCGCUUGCGGGGGAGGGAUAAGGAGGGGGCGGUAAGGGUGAAAAGGUGCGGUAAGAGCGCACCGCAUCUCCGGCAACGGAGAUGGCAUGGCAAACCCCACCGGGAGCAAAACCGAAUAGGGACGGCAUAGCGGACAGUUCGCUCUCGAGCGAUAACUCCGCGGGGCGGUGUCAGGCCCGCUGUCCGGGUAGGUUGCUCGAGGCGCAAGGCAACUUGCGUCCCAGAGGAAUGGCCGUCACGUCUGCGUGGUGUAAACCAUUCAGGCCCUACAGAACCCGGCUUACAGGCUGGCUGAUCGA